AUUUAAGUAGCUUAAUAGUUAAAGUUUAAUAUUGAAGAUAUUACGAUAAGGUUCACCUUCUUAAAUA
rnacentral:tRNA from 1 species